GACGUAGGGUGCAAGCGUUAUCCGGAUUCACUGGGUUUAAAGGGUGCGUAGGCGGGCAGGUAAGUCCGUGGUGAAAUCUCUGAGCUUAACUCAGAAACUGCCAUGGAUACUAUUUGUCUUGAAUGUUGUGGAGGUAAGCGGAAUAUGUCAUGUAGCGGUGAAAUGCUUAGAUAUGACAUAGAACACCAAUUGCGAAGGCAGCUUACUACACAAAUAUUGACGCUGAGGCACGAAAGCGUGGGGAUCAAACAGG
rnacentral:rRNA from 1 species